rnacentral:miRNA from 1 species
UGAAGUCUUCCUUGUCCUGACAG